rnacentral:lncRNA from 1 species
UCGGAGGAGCUCAACAAUGGCGUCUCUGGCCAAGUUUCACUACUGUGAUCAAACCCUCCGCCUCCGACUCGACAGUCACCGUAAACCCCAGCCUAAACCUGUUUCAUACCGAAUCUUUAAAAAACCUCUUCCGUCUCGCGCCAUCAGAGCUUCGUCUUCAUCAUCCUCAAACCCUAAACCCUCUUUCCUCAAAACCACAUGCGUAACGCUAACAACAGCCGCCGCUUUGUUCUCCGCUUCCCUACACCUCGCCACCAAACCCGCCACCGCUGCAACUCUCGUCUCACCUCCGCCACCAUCCACGACGGCGGAUCUCGCUUCCGAUAAAUCCAGCGGAACUGAUCAAAUCUCGUCGAGUCAAAAAGAAGAAAAAGACGAAGCAGCGCUGGAGAAGCAUCUCGCUGAGAAUCCAAACGACGUUAAAGCUCUUCAAUCUCUGAUGAAAAUCAAAUUCCAAACCAAAAAUCUGGAACACGCCUUGGAGAUUCUAAACCGUUUGAUCGAAAUCGAACCAGAAGAACAGGAAUGGCGGAUCUUUAAAGCUCAGGUACAAACCUACGGCGGCGAUUUCGACUCAGCGACUAAAGGAUUCGAAGAGGUUCUCUCGAAAGAUCCGUUUCGCGUGGAAGCUUACCACGGGCUAGUAAUGGCUUACUCGGAGUCCGAAUCCAAGCUAUCAGAGGUCGAGAGCAGAAUCAACGAGGCGAUUGAGAAAUGCAAGAAGGAGAACAAGAAGAAAGAUUUUAGAGAUUUCAUGUUGUUGAUUGCACAGAUUAGGGUUAUAAAAGGGAAUCCGACUGAAGCACUUAGGGUUUAUCAAGAACUGGUGAAAGAUGAGCCUAGAGAUUUUAGACCAUAUCUAUGUCAAGGUUUGAUUUAUACAUUGAUGAAGAAGAAAGAUGAAGCAGCCAAGCAAUUUGAAGAGUUUAGGAGAUUGGUUCCUGAUGAUCAUCCUUAUAAAGACUAUUUUGAUGCUAAUGUGCUCAAUACGCACAAGCUUUGAGCUUUUAUCCCAAGCUUCUGCUUAGAAAUGUUGGCUUUGUGUUGUAUUUGGACUUUUGUCUCUGGAGUAGUCUUUGAUGAUUCUUAUGAAUACAAGCUAUCUAAACAACACACGAAUAUUGCCAUACUUUUAUUCCUCGAUCAGAUCAAAUAUUUCUAUAGAGGUUUGGUUUUUAAAUAGAUAGAUAGCGGGUGACUUGUUACAUCAUGUUUACUUCUACGUGAGAAGAAUAUGCAAUGGUAUCAUACGUAUCUAUGUGGCGGCGUUGGAGGAGUCUCUCCUCUGCUUGGUCCUGAUGGUGGAAUCGGAACGUAUUUUGGUAACAUUCUGAAGACUACACGUUGUGAUGGUGACAUUGGUUUUAGACCGAACAUGGUUGGUUUAUGUGGCGGCGUUGGAGGAGUCUCUUUUCUGCUUGGUCCUGAUGGAGGGAUUGGAACGUAUUUUGGUAACAUUCCGAAGACUAGACGUUGUGAUGGUGACCAUGGUUUUAGACCGACCAUGGUUGGUUUAUGUGGCGGCGAUGGAGGAGUUUCUUUUCUGCUUGGUCCUGAUGGUGGAAUUGGAACGUAUUUUGGUAACAUUCCGAAGACUAGACGUUGUGAUGGUGACAUUGGUUUUAGACCGACCAUGGUUGGUUUAUGUGGCGGCGUUGGAGGAGUCUCUCCUCUGCUUGGUCCUGAUGGAGGGAUCGGAACGUAUUUUGGUAACAUUCUGAAGACCACGCGUUGUGAUGGUGACCAUGGUUUUAGACCGCUGGUCUCAUCCUCAAGGUUCUUUUCAGUGGCUUCAGUGACACAAGCAAAUAGGAGACCAAACAAAAUUACCACAAGAACAUUAGUUGAUUUCGUCAUCGCAAUCUUACUUUUUUUUUUACAAAUUGAUAUGGUUUUGAGGGGGUUUAUAUAAUAAACUUUUGGACAUCUUAUCAUGUGGUUAAAUACGUUUACCUUUUCAAAAAUUUGAGUCAAACUAAAUACAUUUAGGGGUGUAUUUAAAGUAGAAUUUUGAGAUUUGUGUAGAAUUUAUAAAUCCUAUUAAAUCCUAUGUUAUUCAAACAUGUAUUUUAAUAAGUCUCAUGAAAUUCAGUAUUAUUAAACUAGUAAUUUCAAAAUCCAUCUUAAAAUUCACUGUUAUUAAAAACAAUUUAUAUAUUUAAUUUUUAAUGAUUUUGAAAGAUUUGAGAAGAUUUAAGAGAGUUUCCUUAGUUAAAAUUACAUAAUUCAAUCUCAUGGUUUUAGGUGAGAUUUGAAAGGAUAUUACUAAAAUUAUAUGAACUUCACUACAAUCACCAAAAUCAUUAAAAACUCAAGGAAACUCAAAUCAAUUUAAAUUUUACUUUGGAUACACCCCUACUUUUUAAUUUUACAUGAUUUUAUUUUAUAUUGCUAUAAUAAAAAUAAUAAUAAUAGUUAUUAUUAUUAAUUUGGUAAUUUUGAUAUAAUUGUUGUCACUUGUCAAAGAAAACAAUAAAUACAAGUCUUAUCUUUUUUUUUCUUGAUAAGUGAUAGCUAAAAAAAUAUUUUCUCCAUAAAACUUGAACAAUAAUGAGGGUAAGAUUUACUUCAAAACACUUAACAAUCCUAAGAUUUUUUUUUAGAUGAUCACGCUAUGACAACAAGGCAGAGAGUAACAUUUUCACAAAGUUAUGUCUUCGAAAAAACAAAGAUAAGAACAUAAUAAAUACGUGGAAAACAGAGGAAUAAAAAAGGGAAUUACUACUUCUGAGUAAUAGUCUCAGGCCAAAACUGUGCGUUUUUAACUUUGGAAAUACUCGCCAACACAGUCAACGGUGUUACCUCUCCCCUCACGGUAACCUUCUUUGCUGCGAAGUCUAUGUUAUACGACGUCACUCCUGCAUAUAACACAACGAUCAAAACGUACCAAAAACAUAGUAUUUUAACUAAUCAAGAUACAAAUGAUCCCUAAUUCACAACUAAAUUCAUUAGAAAUAAAGUUGUUACUUGCCUUUCAAUUUCGAUAGAUGUUUCUUGACUUUCCCGGCACAGCCUUUGCAAUGAAGUGAUACUCUCAGAACAACCACCUUUUAGACAAAAGCAAAAAAAGAUUGUUAUGCUUGAUAUUACAUAUUAAUUGAUCAUUACGAAGAAUUGGUUUUGUUGGAUGGUUUACUUGAUCCGAAGAAGAGUUUUUCUCCUGUGGUGGUAGCGGCGGCGACGACGAUUGAGGAGGAGAAGGAGGUGGCGGAGGAGGAGGAGGAGAGAAUUUGAAAUCCGGGGAGGAAACAUCUUUAUCUUCAAGUGAGCUAAGAGAUGCUGUAGGAGAAGCUUUUGUUGGUUCAGAGAAGGGAUUAUCCGGAGACAGAACCGGUUCAUAAUCCAAGAACCCUUCGAAGAAAUCGGGUUGCUUCUUAUCCAAGAAAGAAGAAGAUGAUGAAACAUACUUUGAGGCGUUUAUGAUCAGUCUAUCUUCAUGAAAGUUAUCCAAAUCAGCUGCUUUGGUUAUCUCUGGUUCAUCGAUAGGUACUGGAAUCGGGUCGGAAUCCACAAACCCGUCAAAGAAAACCGGGUUGCUCAAUAAGUACCUCGAAGAACCCUGUGGAGUGUCGCUAUUAAAAGGUGACUUACCAACAUCAGAGUCACCUUUCUUGCUCUUCCUCUUUGCUGCACGUUUUUGCUCACUACUCUCUAGACCUAAUCUAGUCUUAAGAGGAGUAUGGUAAGUAGAAGAAGAUGAAGAAGAGGGAUUAAGGUUCGGAGAAGCUGGAGGAGUGAGUCUCCGACCGUCACGUAUGAUUGGAUUAUGACGGUCGAUGGCUCGACCACCGAGCCUGAUCGUGGCCGAAGAAGAAGAAGAAGGUUGUGAGGUUUUGUCCAUGGUUGAGCAAAUGGUUGUUGGUGAUGCUUGAGAGGCACAUAACAUUUUUUUUCUUCUUCUUAUGAAUUGUUGUAAGACAAAGUCUAUAGUUGUUCUGUAUGCAAUUAAAAUGUGAAGUGGUUUCUGCAGUCACACAUAUAAAUUAAUUAGAAAAAUGUAUAUAAUUUUAAGUUCUUGUUAUAAAGACAUUUUUUUGGUUGAUGGGAUCAACUUUAGCAAAAGUAAACAUUAUUCGUAUUCUUAUCAAACCAAUGUGUGAGAGAUUUCUAGGUAGACUUACAAACCGUGUGGAAUUAUUUUGAUUCGAUUGAACUGAUGAUUUUUGGACCAUCUACAAAAUAAUAUAUACAGUAUGAUUCUAAACUUUUCAAUAAUAACAAAAAUAAUCAUUUGGUUAGAAAAACUAUUCUUUUGCAAAACGUAGACAGAUAAAAAAGAGAUAUGUUUUGCCAACCCUUAUUGAUAGUUCCGAAUCUAAUUCUCACAACACCAAACUCGAAAAAAAUAUCAGAUGAAUCUGAUGCUUCUGGUGUUUUUUUUACUGAUUGACGAAUUUAUUCCUCUUUGCUUUCACCACUAUUCCAACUUUUUUCUCUUUUCGACCCAUUAUGUGUUCUUCAACGAAGCCCAUUAACGAUAUAAAUAUUGGGCUUUAAUCGGCCCACUAUAUCCGUCAAAAGAGUCUUGAGGGUUUUCAGGUCAAUGAUUUCACAAAGGUAAUCGUAUAAAUUAUCUUCUUCAUCAAAUUAGGGUUUGAAGAAGUAGCGGCACAGCAGUUCAGCACCGGCAAUCUCACGAUGGGUACGUUGAUGGACAGAUCCUUUGAACUUUUUGACAUGUCAAUUACGUAAUUCUGAUUGUCUUUUUUUUUGUUUUUUUUUUGUUUUUUUUUUUGUGUUUAGCAAGGAUUAAGGUACACGAGCUUAGAGACAAAUCAAAGACUGAUCUUCAGAACCAGCUGAAGGAAUUCAAGGCUGAGCUCGCUCUCCUCCGUGUCGCUAAAGUCACCGGCGGUGCCCCUAACAAGCUCUCCAAAAUGUACGUCUUUUGAUUUCUAAAUUAUACGAUGAAAUGUGUGUAUAGAUAUCCACAUUUGUUAGAAUUGUGUGUUUGGUUUUUGAUCUUACUUGCUGAUUAGAAAACUUUUCAUUUCGGUUUAGAGUAAUUUAGUGUUUUUGUAAGUUAAAUUUAGGAAGUUGGAGUACGGAAUCACACAGUGCUCUGUUUUGGGUUUGCAUUUGUAGCAUCAUUCAUAUUUCUUCACAUGUUUAUAUAGAAUGUGCUCUAGUAUGGUUAUGCAUUUGUCUUAUGACUCCAAAUUGUAAUUUAAAUUCAUAUCAUAUAUGGGACUCGUAAUGUGUGUGCAUAAUCACGUUUUUAGAUAUUGUGGGUUUUGAUAUGACAAGUCAUUGAUUAAACGUGUAUCUGUUUUGAUAAUCCAGCAAGGUUGUGAGGAAAUCCAUAGCGCAAGUGUUGACAGUGAUCUCCCAGAAGCAGAAAUCUGCUUUAAGAGAGGCAUACAAGAACAAGAAGCUUUUGCCUCUUGAUCUCCGUCCCAAGAAGACUCGUGCUAUCCGUAGACGCCUCACUAAGCAUCAGGUAUUUACCCUCACUAGUCAUUACUUGCUUCUUUUCAUGUAACUUUGAACCUUUAUCGGUUUUCAGCAGUUGGUAGCUUCUUUAGUGAUGUAUAAAUCAAUGUAUAUAUGAGUUUAUAAAGUUAACUAUUUCAAUUGGAUAAAGAUGAUGACAUCUCUUUCUUUUUGGGUUGUUUGGGAUACAGGCUUCUUUGAAGACAGAGCGUGAGAAGAAGAAAGAGAUGUAUUUCCCAGUGAGGAAGUAUGCUAUCAAAGUGUAGUUUCAUUUAUCCAGCUUAGUCGCUACUAGAUAUGAUGAUUCAGCUUUUGAUUAUCGGCUUAUGUGUCCUCCCCUUUUUGUCCCACCUUUUGUUUUUAGUUUUACUCAAGUCUUUGUUAUCAAACAGGCUCUCUCAAACCAUCAUUUCAUAUAAUAUUGAGCCAAAGUCUGGUUUUGUGGUUUCUCUUGUUUAAGUUUCAUAUCAAUCUUUUUUAUAAAUGAAUAUUGAUUGGAUCAAGUCAAGUUUGGUUAAUAACUUGGUUCAUCGGUAAUAUUAAGGAUUGUUAGUAGAACACACACACCAAAUGAACAAGGUCUAGACCGAAAAAUGCACCUGAGUAGUAUAAUCAAACUAGAUAAACGAAGCUCUGUGAAUUCAGGUGGGUUGAAUAACAUUUUUGUUUGUAAGAUAUGAAGUUUAAGAACACAGUUACAACUUACAAAGGGUGUAGCAUCUGGACGUAGACAAUACUAGACAAGAUCAUUGGUUGAUGGGAAAAAAAUGAAAAAAAAACAAAAAAAAACUAAAAGAACACGACCACAGUGGGAGUCGAACCCACGACCUUUUGAUCCGAAGUCAAACGCGCUAAUCCACUGCGCUAUGCGGUCAAGAUGUAACAGAGACUCUCAAAAUAUAUUAGAUUAUUUUCUUAUAUUUUGGAGUUAGUGAAAUCUAUUUUUUCACUUUGGAGCAGUUAAUUUUCAAUGGUUGGAUUUCCCACUAGCGGAUUAAAAAUUUAUUUUUUACAAUGUUUGGUAUUAUCAUAAAUGUCCACAUUCACAGUUUCACACAGAUACUAACAAUAAUGGAGGCUCAUUUUUAUGUUAUCUUCUUCAUAUGUCAUUGUCCAUCGCCAAUAACUUAUGCAUUUAAGUGACUGCACGAAGAACAUUUUUCUCAUUUCAAUUGUUUAUUUUUUCAAUCAAGUAUUUAUAAUUUUAAAGUUGAUGCUGUUUGUUUUCAUAACAUGCUUUGAUACUAGUAACAAAGAAAAAGUAGUAUGGAUAAGCUUUUGACUAAAUUAUCAAACAAACCACUAGCAUUAUUGUUUAGUAAUGUAAAAAGGUUAGUUAUCAUUUUUUUUCUCUCCAGAUAUUAUUAGCAUUGUUUAGUUUCUUUUCUGGUUUAAUUUUACUCCUGAAAGUUUUUGUUGACUUAAAUAUGCUAGUUUAAUUUGUUUUGAAAUAGAAAACAACACAACAUAAUGCUUCGAGUGGACACUAAGGUUUGAUUAUAUGUAUUAUUGUAAUUAGGAUAUGAUAUGUAAGAUAUUUGAUAAAACAACACAAGAAGCCAAAACCACGAGGAGGAGAGGUAAUAAUAUUUCCUUGUUUCUAUGUCCAGAGAAUUCAUGUUACUCUUGUCGAAUUCAUUCAUCUUCUUCCUCUCAUGUAGCUAGACUUCCCUAACUCGAUCUGAAUUCCAAAUAUUCCUUGCAACAGAAUCAUCAUCAUGAAAGAGAACAAGAAGACGAUGACGAAGCAGAUGACGGCGAGACGUGACGACACGCCGUUACACACGGCGGUUAGAGAAGGCAACACGGAGCUUCUUUUGGAGUUGAUCGGCGAACACGACGGCGUCGAGCUGAAAGAGCUGUUGGCUGAGCAAAACCAGUCCGGUGAGACGGCUUUAUACGUUGCGGCGGAGUACGGCCACACCGACAUGGUUAAGAUUCUGAUGAAACACUCCGACUCUGUCUUAGCCGGAACCAAAGCCAAGAACGGCUUCGACGCCUUUCACAUCGCCGCCAAGAACGGAAACCUACGUGAGUUGACUUGAUUUUCUCAAUAAAUCUUUGAGCUCAAGAAUUAGCAAUUUUGCAUAUAUUUUUGGUGAAGAACAUUCUAAUUAUGUGCAAUUUGAAAAAGAUUCAUGUGAAUUUUUGCUAUCUUAGUCAAUAAGCACACUAAUAGACAUAUAUAUGGUGAAAGAUGAAAUCUACUUCAUACUCUAAUUAUGUGCAAAUUGCUAUUUGGGUGCUUAUUGACAAAAAAGAGGAACAUGUUUAGAUCAUGGACUAGCAAAACCGGAACAUGUUUAUAAUGGAUUUGUAUUUUGCUUUUGUUGUAGAGAUUCUUCAUGUGUUAAUAGAGGCGAACCCUGAACUCUCAUUUACAUUUGAUUCAUCCAAGACGACGGCGCUUCACACGGCUGCUUCCCAAGGCCACAGAGAGAUUGUUUGUUUCCUGUUGGAUAAAGGUGUGGACUUAGCUGCUAUCGCGAGGAGCAACGGUAAAACCGCUCUGCACUCUGCCGCUAGGAACGGGCACACAGUGAUUGUGAAUGAGCUGAUUGAAAAGAAGGCUGGAAUGGUUACAAGAGUCGACAAGAAAGGUCAAACCGCGCUUCAUAUGGCGGUUAAAGGACAAAACAGUGAGAUCGUCGAUGCGUUGAUGAAAGCAGAUCCUUCGUUGAUCAAUGCCGCGGAUAACAAAGGAAACACUCCUUUGCAUAUAGGCGUCCGUAAAAACAGAGUAGAGGUAAUUGAUUGAUUGACUUGAGAUUACAAUCUUUUUAGUUAUUGUUGUUUCAAAAGUUAAGAUUCUUUGUUGUUUUCGUUGCAGAUUACAAUCUUUUAAGUUGUUGGUUCAAAAGUUAGAAUCUUUGUUGUGUUUCUUUGCAGAUUGUUCAGACCGCUUUAAAAUAUUGUGAAGUCAGUAGAGUGGCGGUUAAUAAAUCAGGAGAAACGGCUCUUGAUAUCGCUGAGAAAACCGGGCUGCAGGAUAUUGUACCGCUUCUGCAAAAGAUCGGUAUGCAGAAUGCAAGAUCCAUCAAGCCAGCUGAAAAAGUGGAACCAUCAGGCUCUUCUAGGAAACUGAAAGAAACAGUUAGUGAAAUAGGCCAUGAGGUGCAUACUCAGCUUGAACAAACCGGGAGAACGAGAAGAGAGAUCCAAGGAAUCGCUAAACGGGUCAACAAAAUGCACACGGAAGGACUCAACAACGCGAUAAACUCCACUACCUUAGUUGCCAUCCUCAUAGCAACCGUAGCAUUUGCAGCCAUCUUUAACGUUCCAGGCCAGUUCACGGAUGACCCGAACAACGUUCCUCCAGGAUAUUCACUCGGAGAAGCGAGAGCAGCCCCGAGAACCGAGUUCUUGAUAUUCGUGGUGUUUGAUUCUUUCGCGCUUUUCAUCUCUUUAGCAGUGGUUGUGGUUCAGACAUCAGUGGUGGUUAUAGAGAGGAAAGCAAAGAAGCAAAUGAUGGCGAUAAUAAACAAACUCAUGUGGAUGGCUUGCAUUAUGAUAUCAGUAGCGUUCGUAUCUCUGUCUUUUGUUGUUGUUGGAAAGAAAGAGAAGCCUUUAGCGAUUGGUGUAACCGCCAUUGGAGCUUUGAUCAUGGUCUCAACACUUGGAACUAUGUGUUAUUGGGUGAUUGCUAACCGUAUUGAAGGCUCAAAAUCGUCUCCAUCGUCAAUGAUGUCAGAUCCUGAGCUAGCUGAUUCCAAACAUAACCGGAGACUUUAUGCAGUAUAAUUGAAAAGUGAAACAGAGCAUUUAGAAAUCAUUGAAGAACAGAGAGAUUUUUGUAUCCAGGAAAUAAAAGAGAUCUCUGUUAUAUAUGUAAGUAAGUUGGAAAAUAGUAUAUAUUUCAUUUGUAUAAGCGUUUACAUGAUACUUCUAGAGAGAAAGGUUGCAUUGUAUCAUAUCCAGACAGAAAACACAAAAGAGAGCUUUGUCGAGAGAGAGAGAGAUAGAGAGCUUUCUACUCAGCAGACGUCUUAGCCUUCUUAUCUAAAAUAAACCAAAAAUGUUUCUUUACUUUGUUAACAAGAGUCAAGAAUCAAGAAUCAAGAAUCAAGAAUCAAAUUGAUGUACCUAGGGCUGGGCGGCCAGAAAUGUUGCCGCCACGGAGGCGGCGUCUAUGGACAGUGGAUUUUCCCAGUCCAUUAACAAGGCGAACAACUAGUUUGCGUCCCCCCAUGUCGCUCCCAUUAAGUUCAGGCGCCUUCACUGCGGCGUCUUCUCCAUAAAGAGCCACUAAAGCUGAGCUGAAAAAGUCAAAUCUCUAUUUAGCAUAUUAAUAAUAAUAUGAGAAAAUGGUUGACAGCAAACAGUGAGUGAGGAAGAAACAAACAAACCGCUCGUUAAUGAAGACAUGCUUGAUCUUUCCAUAUGAAGAGAAAAGUUUAAUCAAAGCGCUCUUGGUUUCAUCAGGACUAAGGGAAGGGUCAUAUCCUUCAACUCUUAAAGAAGCGGAACUGCAAUAAUACUUGUAUUAAUAAGAAGAGACUGAUGAUACAAAAAUACAAAAAAAAAAAAAAAAAGAUUUAUACAAGUUGUAAAACAGUUGAGCUUACUCGUUUGCAUGUGGCAUAAAAGGAUACGCAGUAACAGAGACAUUCCAUCCUCCCACGUCACUUCCCUUGAGUUGCAAGGCCUUUUCUACUGCUCCUUCUCCCAGAAAAUAUAUAUAACCACUUCUGUGAGAGACAAUGACAAAGACAAAAAUGAGCUGAGCUGGGAAAAUUGAAGGAAUUAACAACAAACCACAAAACAAAAACCUCCAGAGUGUAUGAUUUCUAUAGUCUUUUGGGAUAUAAACAUCAGUGAUCUCUCCACAUGAAGCGAAAUGUUUUCUCAAAGCCUUCUCGACAACAUCACGACGAAGCCUUAUGUCAUAUCCUCUUACGAUAAUUCUCCCAAUGUCACUGCAAUAUCAUUCGAUCACCGUGACGACAAAGAACACAUAUAUCUUACACAUUACAUAUUAAAAAUAUGUAUCAAGCAACCUAUACCGGAUUUUUCGAAUGGCUGCAUCAGUGUCGUUCAAUUCCAGCAAUUUCAGACCCUAGGGUAGACACAAACGAUCUAAUCAGAAAUUCUACUAACUUAUAAAACAAAACAAAAAAAACUUUUUCUUACAUACUUGUGAAGAUAUCAUUAAUUGAUAAACAGAGGUGUUAAAGAGUGAUCCUUAAUAAUGAAAAACAAAAAAAAAGGGCCAUAAGGAAAAGACAAAUAUUACUUUCUCGAUGGAUUCGUCCAUGGGGAAGUUCUUAAGAGCGGCUUGCUAGGUUUUUACAGAGGCGAUCACCCUUUGAAAGUUAUAUUUUAGGACUUUAGUUGAAACCUUUUAUACACUCUAUUUUUUCUUAACCAAUAAGAAUUUAUCAUCUAACAAAAAAAAAACUUUUAAUGUUAUCUAUGAAUACAUUACCGAAGACUAAACCGAAGACUUUGACUUUUAGAAUCAACGUCAACUUUUUUUUUUUUGUCAACAAAUCAACGUCAACUAAACCGAAGAUUGUGUAUAGCAUACAACGACGACGUCCACGAAUUGUUUAGUAACGACUAAAGAGAGAGAAGCCGAAAUGACCAGAUUACCCUCUUUCGCCGCCGCUGUCGUCGUCUUCUUCCUACUCACCGCUGCUACUCUGACGGUAGCGGAGAUAAAGUCUCUCGUUAUCUCCGAUGACUCUCGGCCGGUAAUUCUCUUCGAGAAGUUCGGGUUUACUCAGACCGGUCAUGUAACCGUCUCGAUUAGCUCUGUAUCAGUAUCUUCUUCUCCGAGUACAGAGUCGUCGAAACUAGGGUUCUUACUUAUAUCGGAAGAAUCGCUUCUUAAGAUACUCUUCGAGAUCCAGAGAAACCCUAGAUUCUGCAUCCUUGAUUCCAACUACAUCAUCCAUCUCUUCGCCUUCCGUAACCGGUCUCAGUUCGAUCAUUCCUAUUCGAUAACGUUCCCGAGCGAGUACUCUCUCUUCUUCGUGAAUUGCGUACCGGAAAGUACAGUUUCGAUGAAGAUCCGAACGGAGAUGUACAAUCAAGAUUCGGACGGGUCAAAGGUUUACUUACCGCCCGGUUCAACUCAGUUACCCGGUUUGUAUCUCUUCUUCUCCCUUUGCUACUUGACUUUCUUGGGUCUCUGGCUCUGUUUCGGCUACAACAGCACGCAAAGGAUCCACCUUUUUAUGGCUGCUCUGCUUUUAGUGAAAUCUCUGACUCUGAUAAGUGCCGCUGUGUAUCAACACUACGUGAAAGUCACAGGCACUGCUCAUGGCUGGAACAUUGUUUUCUACAUUUUCCAAUUCGUCAACGUCGUUCUGCUCUUCACGGUGAUUGUUCUAAUCGGAAACGGUUGGUCUUUCUUGCAACGGAAGCUACAAGGAAAAGAGAAGAAGCUGUUGAUGAUCGUUGUUCCGCUUCAGGUUUUAGCCAGCAUUGCUUCGAUUGUGAUUGGAGAGACUGGACCUUUCAUCGAGAAUUGGGUGAUUUGGAACCAGUUCUUCUUGCUCGCUGAUACAUCUUGCUGUUCCACGAUUGUAAUCGUUAUGGUUAGGUCGAUGUGUAGUACCCGAAGAGAGACAUCAAAGAAACCCGAUGGGAAAGCGGUUAAGAACUUAGCCAAGUUACCACUUUUUAGGAGAUUCUACGUUUUGGUAAUUGUGUAUUUUUUCUUCACGAGGAUCGUCGUCUUUGCUUUGAAGAUUAAAGUGGAUUAUAAGUAUCAGUGGGUGAGCAAUGCAGCUGAGGAAAUUGCAAGUCUUGCGUUUUGUAGUUUGAUGUUCUAUAUGUUUACUAGGCCAAUGGAGAUGAAUGUGGACUAUCUUGAUAGUGAUGGUGAAGAAGAAGAAGAAGAAACUGCCGAGCUUUCCCUCAAGAAACAAGAGUUUGGGCUCUGAUGAAACAAUCUGCUUCUUGCUAUGUGUGUGUUUUAAGUUUUAAACCUGUGAUAAGGAGGAGUGUACCUUGCUCUCGUAUACGGUAGCUUAAGGCCUAAUUAGACCCUUUUUGUUAGUAAAGAAAGCCAGUAUAUCAUGUGACAUGUGGAACUUAAUCUUUGUAAAUUCGUAAUUUUCUGUUGAAUAUACAUACUCGUAAAGAUUUUGUGCUGGCCAAAACUUUGGAUUGACAUUUUAACUUUUUUGUAUUAUUUAUGGUCAUGGACAGGCAAACACAUCAUAGUUCAGGAUAUAUAUUAUCACUUGUUGUAAACCUAAUUAAUUAGUCUUCAAAAUGUGGUCUAGGAUCUUAGAGUACGUGGAAGUGAAAUGAUUAUAAUGAUUACGUUUUGUAAUCAAAUCGUAAAUUAAUAAUGAAGAAAGGGUUGAAUAAUAAUAAUAAGGCCCGACAUAUUGAUCUCGAUGAGUCUUGGAGCUUAAGCGUCAAGAUUAAAGCAUGCCUUGUUUCGUGUAUGCCAAUUUAUAGUAUUUAUUGUUUUUUAGUGUUUUAUUGUUCCAAGAUUGUGUUUUGAUUAGUCUACACGUAUAAAUAUUGUAGAGAAAUUAAGUAUCGUGACACAAGAAAAAGGUGAACUAUAUUGUAUUAUCAUCUUUUGUGGUCGUGAUUAUGUGUGGUUCACUAAUUAAGUCCCCACUAAUGAUAACAGGCGUGAUCUGAAAUUUUGUGAUAACUCCGUAGUUUUUUUUAUGUUCGUUCCACUAAACUAUUUAUCAUGCGGCGGCCUUCGUAUAAGUGUGAUCAUUAACAUGCGAUCAUUAUUUUAUAUCAUUAAUAUAGUUUAUAGAUUGUGUAAGCUAAAUUCUGUAAUGCGGUUUGGCGUUGAUUUAUUGACUCCUCCAAUUCUACACAUGUCGAUGCCAAAUUGCCAACUACUGUAGUAGUGCUAUAUAUUGGUGGGAAACAAUUUUUUUUAUUGAAUGAAAUAUCUUUUACCUUAUAAUCUUCAGAGACAUUACAAGACUUUUUAAAAUAAAGAUGCCAUUCUCUUAUGUUCGUAAUAGUAUUCGAUAUUAGAAACACCAAAACUGAUACAAAUGGCUUUAUGAUGAGUUUAGACCAACAUUAUAGGGAGUUAAGAUACCCCCACAUUUUCAAAGAAAAGAUCUUGCAUAAGAUCUUGCAUAAAAUUUUUCUUUGAAAAUGUGGGGGUAUCUUAGCUCCUAAGAUACCCCCUAUAAUGUUGCCCUUAUAUCUAUUUUUAUGUCAAGAUUUGAAAAUAUAUUAUUAAUAUGCAUAUAUUCUUGUCACUCGUAUGUAUAUGAUCAUCACUCUAGUAAUUCCUUUAAACAUUAAAAAGAAAAAGUUUUAAAACAAGAUCUGGCUCUGGCUACGAUUCUCUUCCUUUACAAGUGUUGAACAACUUUAGUAAAUCCAUGAGCAUCCGAUGCUUGAAAUACCCCGCCUAAUAGUUUCAAUUUACCAAUUUUGUUGUUUUUAUUUGUGUGUAAUCACUCAUCAGAGACAAAAUUUUAUAGUUGUUUUUGUUUACUAAACUGAUAACAUUUGGAAAAAUCAUAUCAAUAUGAUGCAAGUAAGCAACCACGUACGAUGUCACAUGUUAAUUAGCUUCCGUGAUUUACUAUCCAAAAAAUUGUAAACAUGUAGUAACCAAGAUAUAAUAUUUUAACAUUUAACUUAAACUACCGGAGACUUUUUGUAUUUUCUAAAAUCCUGAACUAUUAAAGAGAGAGGAAAAACAAAAAAAAUACUCAUGCACAAUCAUCUAAUAAACUACAAAUAACACCAUAGAAAACCAUGAAAAUUCUGUAUAUUACAAGUUUAAAUACAAACAAAAUCAACUAAAAAGGAAGGGUUCAACAGAUAACUCUUAAAACAAAGAAGAAAAAAAAACUCAAAUCUUAAUAAUAAGUUUGAUACAAAAAAAUAAAAGAGUAAUUAACUUAUAACAACUUAGUUUGGAUCAACAACAUCUACGGUGGCAGAACAAGACAAUAACCUUCGAAAAAACCUGAACAAAACAGAGCAAGCUUGUUCUUGUCGCUUCUUCCUUCUAACUCUCCUCUUCUCACCACGACGCCGCUUUGUACUCUCGACGUUGAUGUCACUUUCCUUUUUACUCUUACGUCGAAACGACGCCGUGUCCUUAACCCUCCCUAGACACGACGUCUGCGUCGACGCCGACGUCACCUUCUCCGAUUUGCUCUCAUCAUCGUCUUCCCUAGAGAAAGUGUAGCUCCGGAGAUACAUCUGCCGGCAAGAUAUGCUAUCCACUACACGCGCCUCCGGUACGCCACCUCCACGACGUACGGAGCGAACGAACUCGGCGUCGGACUCGGGCCACUUAUAUAGAUUCACGUAGGAGGCACGCACGGGACGAAUCGGCACGCGCGGGUCAUGUGCAUCGUUGAUGCAGCUGGAGAUACACACAGAGUUCAUUCUAAAGGUUUAUUUUUGAUAUUUAUUUUCUCCCCUCGGUUCUUCAGUAUUGCGUAUGUGUACUAUAUAGUAGAGAUAUUGGAUUUUUGGGUUUUUAAAAAAAAUAAUAAUAAAAAGGGUUUAAUAAACGUGGAUGAAUAAGUGAAGCUUAGAUUUGAAGAAAAGAUAAGUGGGAAAUUAAAGGAGAAAUGUUGAGAGAGAGGAUGAUUAAGGAAGGGAGAUGUUAUUAAUUAUUUUUUUUUUACAUAGAAGAGAGAGAACGAAAAUGGCAAAUAUAUGAUAGAAUUGGUGGUGGUCUGGUGGAGCUGGCAAUGACUACAUUUUAAUUUGAUUUUAUAAUCAAAGCAAUAUUUGUAAAAUAAAAAAUUCCAUCCAAAAAUGAUUAUAUUUAGUGAACAAUAUCAAUAUCAAUACACAAUUGUUGUUUAAGCAAUAUUUCUAAUUAAUGAAAAUGGUUGUUAUGAUUUGGUGUGAUUAAAGUGAAAAUUUUAUAACUAAACUACUAACAACGAUAGUUGAUGUUAAUCCUACAUUUUCAGAUGUAAUUCAAGGAUAUUGUACAUUAAAGAGUCGAAGACCAAUCUUCAUAGCCAUCUCACCAAAAUAGUAUAUUUAACUACAUUCCUAUAUCAAUCCAGCCCCACUGAAAACAUUUUUGGUAGAUAAUUCUGAACGUGGUUACAAUGCCAACGUCUAAUAAGUGUUCAUUCCAUCAAAAUAUGAUUGGCAUGUAAUAUUUUUUAUUUGUAGAAGAAAAUAGACAAUAUACUUUGUAAUGCAAAUUUUGUUCAAAUGAUGCAAAAUCAUGGGCUUUCAACGAAUCCAUCUAUAUUCAAUUCUUUUUGGUUUAUAUUGAAUAUUAGCGAUUAACACCAUCUACGAUGUGGAAUUCCGCAAAUAUUAGAUAAAAAUUGUAGUUUUAAGCAAUGAUGCAUAGAAAAUUAUAACACUUCUUAUCUAGUUUUUUUUAUCAACAACAUGAUUAGCAUAAAAUUGCUAACCUUCCUACUAAAACGUGUCUAUUUUUUUUUGUAGGUUGUUCUAAUUGAUGCAAAGAUUUUUCUCAUUAAAAAUUCGAGAAUCCAUUUGCUAAAUAACCUCCUCAUACUUGAUUAGGGGGUGUUAUUGGAUUCUAACUUAUAAAGAAUUUAGAUGACUCUGCUAAAAUCAUAGAUUGGAUGAUUUUAAGGGAUUGUUUGAGAGUUUUAUAUAAUAUUGUUAUUAGUUUUUUUAAAGUCUUGUAAAGUCUCUCAAACAAUCUCUGUAUUUAUAAGAUACUUUUCAUGACUUUAUUUUGUAAAGAAGAGUGUUUAAAAUCAUAAACCAAUAACAUAAAAUUUCAAUUCAUUAACAAUCAUAGAUUCUUUUGUUUUAAUUGAAUAACACAGAACUUUUAAUGACUUUGUAAAACUCUGUAUCCAAUAACCCUAUAUUUAUGAAGAUUUUGAAUGACUCUUUACAAAUCAAUAACUAAUAACACCAAACUUUAAAAGAGUUUUAUAAAAUCUUGAUUGAAUAACAACAGAUUCUACCUAACAUCUAAAGUCAUUAAAACUCCAUAUAACUCACAAACCAAUAACACCCCCUUAUUUUACUUUCACUUUCUUGGACCGUUGACAAAUGUUGGUAUGGGCUCAUAGGAAUGGGCCUUGAGCCUUUAAAAUAGUUGAAAUUACAAAUCAAUUGUUUUUAGGACAAAGAGAGUAUCCUCGUAUAGUAAAAUACUACAAUUUAGGAAGUGGAAUGAUCCACCACGAUUCAUCCGUGCUUAAUUUGUAAGAAAAAAUAAGAUAUACAGUAUUUAUGACCAUACAAAAUCGACCAAUAUUGAGUUAACUGUAAAAUUCAGAUGAAGCUGUUGUUGCAUGUAAAAUAUAACAUGGCUCUUAUUUCAUAUCCCAGGUGUUCGACUGUUCGUACCGGAUGCAUCUUCGCAAUUUGUGACUGAACCGGAUAAAAGAAGGUUUGCGUCUGAACCGGAUGCAUCUUCACAAUUUGCGGCUAGCUGAACCGGAUAGAAAAAUGUUUACUUCUCUUGCAGUCGUUUGCAAUUUGUGUUCUUUUAUCUGAAGAACAUAUCUUGUUUCUAAAUUUGCGCCAAAUUAUAAAAAUGUUUACUUCUCUUGCGUUUGCGACGGCACCAAUUAGCACGACGAUAGUCUCUGCCACAAGGCGGUCACAAGUUUCACAGCCUAAAGCUAAGAAAGCCAAGCCAGAGAAUAAGCGGCCAAUGACGACGUCGACGAGUGGUUUCUCCGGCAGAACGAAGGAAUUGACUUGGCAGUGCGUCGAAGGUUGUGGAGCUUGCUGUAAGCUUGCCAAGGACUUCGCUUUUGCCACCCCUGAUGAAAUAUUCGAUGACCCUGAUGAUGUUGAGGUCUAAUGUGUUUUCCACCCAUCACUUGUUCGACGAAAUUCCUCUGUCAGUGUUAAAUUGUUAAUGUAUCAUAUUUUCGACGCUAAAUAUCUUAUGUUUAAUCCAGCUGUAUCGAAGCAUGAUCGGAGAUGAUGGAUGGUGCAUAAACUACAACAAAGCUACACGCAAAUGCUCCAUUUAUGCUGGUAUCAUUACUUUAUUAGCUUAUCAGAUUGGUCUCUCUCUAAUUCAUCUGUUAUGUUUUGAACGUUUUCUAACUUUCCUGAGUUCAGAUCGUCCUUACUUUUGUCGGGUUGAGCCUGAGGUUUUCAAGUCACUCUAUGGGAUUGAAGAAAAGAAAUUCAACAAGGAAGCUGUCAGGUAACAUCUGUGAUUCUCCUUGGUUGCAUUAUUCUUGUUCACCUAUAUCAAAUGUGUGUAUAUAUAUAUAUCUUGUUUAGGGGAUUCAGCUAAUAUCAACCUGCUAACACAACUAAAAUGAUCCUACAACUUGGAAGACAUAAAAAACACUGUUUAUUGUCUUUUUUUUUACGUUGCAGCUGCUGCAUUGAUACCAUUAAGACGAUUCAUGGCCCUGAUUCCAAAGAAUUGGAUAACUUCAAUCGUGCCAUCAGAAGUAGUCCGAGCUCGAGUUAAUCGUCAUAUGAAUUCAAAGGCAGGUACUGAUUCAGUUCUUUUAUUGGUAACACAUACCUUAAAGUUCCCUAUGCAUUUGUGGAUUAGAAUAUGUACAAUAGCUUUCUCUGUUGAAACUUUUUGUGAUUAUUUUGUCUGAUUUCUAAAAUGUGGGGGAAAAGAAGCAAAUACCAAAAACCAGAUGGCCAAAAGCUAAGAUUUCCUACUGUCAACCCUCUUCCCUAAUAUAAGCUGCAAAACUCAUGAAACACCGAAAAGUCUCUGUUGUUCAGAUAAAUUGUGGACGAACCUGCUCAAUACUAUAUAUCAUAUCACAGGUUCAAGUCCAAGUUCAUCUUCAGGUUCAUCACUUUCCUCAAAUAGCUGCAUAAACCUAGCUUGAUCUCGCUGCUUCUUCAUCCUUUGCGAGUGCUUGAACGUAAAAACGCCUCCAACCACAACCAGAGUCGCACACAAUAUGCCUGCUACAAUCGCUAUCAUGACUGUUAUCCCGUUGUUUCCUUCCUCUUGGGGACUAGAACCCGUCGUUGCUUUAGAAGAUACUGCAUAUCAUUGCAUUCAAUUCAUAUAUGUUACUUGUGAUCAUCAUAUCUUUUCGUUUCUUUUGACAGGAAACAUAAACGUGGAAAUUAGUUUUCACUCACUGGAGUCGAGCUUGGUGCAACCGUGGCAGACAAAAGUAGCAUUAAUCUCCUUUUCCUUAAAAUGCAUAUAGAUUUGGCUAGCAGAGAAAUCAGAGGGACAAACUUCCCAUUCAUCGAACUCUUUGUCUGAGACAAGGCUGCCUUGCUCAUAGAUUCCGCAUCGCUUACAUUUUUCGCCACCAAUUUCAGUCAUAGGCUGUAAUAAUAAACAUUGAAGAAACAUGUAAGUUUCACAAUCUUGAAUCUUGUCUAAUUGAAAGAUGGUUGUAAAAGAGAUUAUGAACGAACCUGCCAUGAUUCUUGACCGCGGAAAGUGUACAAGACACCGGUUUUGGUAACAUCUGGAAGAACAGUUUUGUUCUCUCCUUUGCACUGAAAGUAGACCGUGUGUUUGAGCUUGAACCAGUCGUGCUUUGUGAAUAUCUCAAUGGUGUUGAGUGUGAUAAAUUGCGAUCUAACAAAAAGUCCUGAAAUGUGAAAAGAAACUAUAAAUAUACUUGACUUUACAUAGAUGAACAAUAAGUCGAUAUGUCCGAGUGGUUAAGGAGAUUGACUCGAAAUCAAUUGGGCUUUGCCCGCGCAGGUUCGAAUCCUGCUGUCGACGUUUUUAUUUUUUUUAUAUAUACAGAAAAUUCCCGAUUAAAUUUAUAUUGCAAAGACGAGAACCCCUUUUUUCAUGUUUUAUUUUUUUUCUUGGGCUUUUUCAUUUCCUCAUGCAAAUCUACACAAUCGAUCGAUCAUCUAUGGAAAGUAAAAAAAAAACAUAAGGAAUUUCACCUGGAAUCCACAUGAGGAUGAAGAUGUACCAGAAAAUAAGAUUUCUCCAGAUCAACGGAUUCCGAAUCGUCAUUUCUUAUUUAAUUCUAAUUGGAUUCUUUUUUAAAAAACUUUCUUCCGUUUGGUUCUCUCUCUUUUUUUUUUCUUGUCAAAGAAAUGAUGAAAGAGAGGAAGACGAAGAAAGAACGAGAGAAAAAAGAGGUGGAACAAUAGAGAUCCACGUGCGUCUCACACCUUCCCUCUUAAAUUCCCCAAUUCACCCCACACCAUAUUUGUAACGUUCGUAUCAAAAAGUGACUAAACAUCUCUUAUACAAGAGACAUAAACUAAGUUUUCUUAACUUUUCUUAGCUUUUUUUACCUUAAGAUUUAUUUAAAAACCCCUUGUUAAUGAUGGUCUAAUACACCUAAGUUAUAUAUUUACACAUUGAAACAUCUGAAAAUCCCGUAAAAUAAUUUGAUUAUAUAUAGUUUCUUAAGAAUUCUAAAGAUUAUUUUUCCAGGUUCAUUUAGUUAAAAUCUGAAUUAUAAAACCAUUCUUUUUGGUCAAAACGAACAAAGUCAACUCAGCUUACAUUAUGUAAUGGCCGUUUUACUUUUCAACAAAUUAAGAAAAUACAACCAAAAGAAAAAAAAACUGGAAAACGAACAGAUGAGAGAGGAUGGAGGAGACACAACCUGUCAAAGCUUGUCAGAAAAUCAACUAACCGAAUAAUCAAUGUUCAUAAGUAAAAAAUAAAUCCACAGAAACAGAGGUUUUUGUUUUGUUUUUGAGUACGAGAAAAACGAAGACGACGACUACGACGAAGAGAGAGAUGUCGUCGUCUUCGUUACCUCAUCCGCUUUUUUGUCUCUCCAUCUCUUCUCUUCUCCUCCUCCUCCUUCUAAUCCAAUCCGCCGCCGGGACUCUCUUGCCGGGCAACAAAGCCGCAGCCUCACGUGUGACUUACAGAAGAAAGAGGAUGACGCAAUCGGCGCAGUUCGUACUCGCACAUAACGCAGCGCGUGGAACUUCAGGCGUCUCGAGUCUCAAAUGGGAUAAAGGCUUGGCCCGUUUCGCUUCUGAUUGGGCCAAACAACGUAAAGCGGAUUGUAAAAUGACCCAUUCAGGUGGGCCUUACGGAGAGAACAUAUUCUGGCACCAAAAUAGUGAGAAGUGGUCGCCAAAGAGAGUCGUUGCUAAAUGGAUGCAGGAGGGUUUUAACUACGAUCGGACGACUAAUUCGUGCAAGCUUGGUGAGAUGUGCGGUCAUUAUACGCAGAUCGUUUGGCGUACAACCACAGCCGUUGGAUGCGCACGUGAGAAGUGCGAUAACAACCGUGGAUUCUUAGUGGUUUGCGAGUAUUCGCCUUCGGGGAAUUACGAAGGCGAAAGUCCUUUUGACAUGCCUAAAUAACAUUGAAAUUUAUACAAUAUUUGAUUGAUAUAUUAUUGUUUACUCUAAAUUGAAAGUGAAAAAGUUUUUCCUGCCCUAAUAAUAAUGAUGGUCAAGUUUUUUUCUUUUAUCUUCUCCUAAAUGUAAUAUGGACUAUGUUAAUGUUCAAAUUUAUGGGCUUAGAUCUUUUUCAAUUACUAUGUGGGCUUUUGAUAUUCAUAUAUUUUAACUAUGUGAAACGCUGUCGUUUUUGGCUUAAGUAAUGUAAUUUCGAAUCUUCAAUUGUAUCCGUCAUCGUCACUCACUGUGGAGAAAAACCCUAAAACAUUUUCCGGUGAGAAAUGAGUAUCAUCCGUAGCGCGAUCAGAUCGGGUUUGUGUCUCCGGCAGUCGAAUCAUGUAAUUAGCGGUAGCUCUCUUCUAUUUCUUCAGGAUUGGAGGAAAUGCCUAUCUACCGCAACGGAGCAGCCUCCUUCCUCCCCGUUACCACCGCCUCCGGGAGGUUCUCCGGGAGAAGGUUUUCUUUUAUUUUUUCCCCUUCCAUGUAUUUAUUCUAUCUUUGAGUGUAUUUCUCCAAUUUGUGAGGAUAAAGACCUUAGAUCACAGAUUGCAGACUUUGAUUUGCUUGGAGUGAGUAUAUCUGAAGCUGAUGUUGAAAGUGAUAGUUUCUGAUUUUGACCACAGAGGCUAUUAUCGAAUUUUUAAUCCAAAAAAGGGAACGGUUUGUUUAAAUUGAUAUAAUAUAGAGCGUAGAAGGAUUCUGGAUUGUUAUGGUUUUGUGACUUUAGCUCAUUAUGAAGUGUGUGCACCAUGAUUGUCUUCUUUAUUUUGGUAAAGCAUGUUCCUUGAUCGUGUUUUUGUUCUUUCCAGGGAGGUUUUAUGGGAAAUUUUCAGGCUUUUCAAAACAUGCUCUGAAGACUGAUAUCAUGAACGUACUCGAAGGCUGCAAUGUGACACCAGAUGAUCUCAAAUUCAACUAUCUGCGUGGUGGAAACUUAACUCCUGCCGCAGUGUAAGUAUUACGCUUAUUAAUUCUCCCUGGAUUGUUGCAAGUUUUAUUUUGGAAGCGGGAAAUUUGGUUCCAAACUAACUACUUUCAUUUCUUCUUCAUCCUCGACAAUGUUGGUAUAUCAGUUUUGUCCAGUUUCCUUCCCUUUCCGCAUAUGAUAGAGGACUGCGGAAUAUCGCAAAGAAAGGAAAGCUAUAUAGAUUAGAAAGGGUAAUCCUUCUACAAAUUAUAGAGUCCGUGUUUAUUACCAUUUUACAAAUGAAGAAAGUCCUCAUAUGAUAGACGACUAUUUAAUCCUGAGUUGAUUCCUUGUCUAUAAUUAGGCUGCUCGUUCUCAGUGGGAUCCAAUUGUCCCUUAUGAGGGGAAAGUGGUAAGCUAUAUUUUCUGUCAUAACUGGUGGUUUAUCGAGGUCUUUCUCAGAUGACUGGUCUGAGAUGAAUUGUAAUUGGUACUGAUUAAUGUCUUAUGAGAUUUUAUAUUGUUUAGGUUGCACUACAUGGGCUUCCGGUGAAUGCUAUAACAGAUGACAUAGAUAGGUUCUUAUCUGGCUGUCUCUAUUAUCCUGGAUCCAUCCAGUUCCUCACAGUGUGAGUAAUCUCUUUCUUAUGUUCUUUGGCUUUAACUCUAGCCCUUUUGAUUAGCCGUUAGUCUACCUGGAGUCUUGCAAACCAAUGCUCUUCUGUUUGUUUAAUCAGUUACAAUGAUUUUUAUGUACUUUUCGGUUAAUCAUAUUACACACUAGUAAAAGCAAUAUAUAUUUAUGUUAAUAGUACAAAUGUAAAAUGAGUUUCUCUGGGAAUUAUGAGAGGAGUGACAUAACACCUACUCUGGACUGUCAUCAUUUUUUGUUUACUUGAGUACGACAUGUGACAUUUUGUCAUCUUCUUUGAUACACGAUAUCUACAGAUCUUUGUGCUCUAUAACCCUGUUGCAGUGAUUUCUAGAUUACCGAUAAAAUAAGGACAUGAAACUAUUUUAAUGUCUUCUUUCACCAUGCAGUCAAGGACUGGGAACUUCAAAGAGGGUGGCGUUGGUGCGUUUCACGUCACAGACACAGGCAAUGAACGCAUACAUUACAAAGAACAGGAACUUCCUUCUCAACCAACGAAUCACAUUGCAAGUUCUGCAGUAAUUUCUUAGUUCCUCAUUCUAUUCUGGUGGUGUAAUACAAUGGUAAGAAAUCCAAAGCGCAUUUUUUGUGCCUUUACUGUUGGGAUGUUCUAGGUCGAUUUGAUUAUCAAAAAUUUCUAUCUGCAGACAUCUUGAUGCUAGAAAAACUAUUGUUGUCUCUCUUCCCUGGCUCAGUUUGAAGUUCAUGAAUAAAAAAAUGCAUGUGGCUUAGUAGUAGCAGAAAGUCUCAGAUAAGCAAAAUGUUAAAUUGUGAAGUAUGUGAUCGUUCUUUCUUUCCUGUAUUUUGACUAAAGCUGUUAUCUUCGGAUGCCCAUGUGAUGAAGUGAUCCGUCUUGCUUUUAAAAAGUGAAUGACUUUGUACUAUAAGGGUUUGGUGGGGGCACACCACAUUCUUCACUAGUGCAAUAGAAAUCGAGCACAGUAGAAUAAUAGAAUGAAUUUUAAUAUUGUUUACUCGCUUUUCUCUAAUGGGUCAUCUUUACUUGUCAUUGAAGCAUCUUGCCAUCAUAUCUUCUCACUUCUCACGGUAACCAAUCUUUCUUCAUGAGUCCCUUUGGUUGCGUAGAAGAUUUGAUGCAUUAUUAAAUUUGUGGGUUUUAUGAUUGUACGUACUUUUGAUAUGCUUAUAAUCAAGAUGUUCUUCGCAUCGGUAUCGGUACUAGUGAGAUUUCAAUAAACUCAAUGGCCAAACCUCUCUAGUAGCUAUAUAUAAAUCAAAAUUGACGAGUUAAUUUUUGUUCUAGUGGGUAAGUUUUCUUCGGAGUGAGGUAAGAGCACAGUCAUUGAAGACUUUUCAGUUUUGAUGUCCACCAAAAUCUUGUUUAGGGAUUUGUGAGACAUGAGAGUUUGUGAAAGUGUGGACAACACACCGGGACAAAUGCAUAGAGACUAGAGUUAUAGGAUGGUGUGGUCAUGUGAAUUAUUAAUCUUUUCAACACUGUUUCUUGAAGACAACAGUUGAAAAUUAGAAGAAGCGAUGGAUUUAGCCAAUCUUUUUGUUAUUGAUAUCGUGUAUAGUUUCGACUUGUGAUCAUCUUCCUCUUGUUUUGUUGCUUUUGUUUGGUCAUAUACACCAAUAAGAGAAAGAUCUCUUUGUCCUAAACAAACAACAUGAGUUCGGUAAAUAAUCUUAUCUGAAUAUUUGGUAUGAAUGAUGGGUUUUUUUGGGUUUGUGCUUCGUGUGAUUUUGUGUUGUGAAAGUAGACAAAUUCGAUAUGGACAAGUAGAUUUGUAUAAACAAGCCUAUCCGAAUCCUUACUAUACUCCACAGACUCUUGUCUGGUCCCAUUAACUAGCUUCACUUCACAUGAUCGAAACUCUUGAUCAACUUUGAUAAAUGUAACUAGUUUGGUUUAGAUUGUGGAGCUAGUAAGUAAUAAGUAGUAACAUAACAAAAGAUAUACAAGUUUAAUAAAUUUCUACACAUAACCUUCCAAACAAAUUCUUCGAAAUUUUCUAUUUCCAAGAUAUUUAUUAGUUAGAAGUGAAAUGAAAUACUUUUUAAUUGUAUAAAGUUUUUGCAAGCUAAUUAUGUCUGUCACCAACAGUAGCAAAAGUGUUGUUAAGCUUUUGCCAACUCUUCUCCAUUCAUUGCUUCUACACCUUUAUUCUCCCAAUCUCAUAUUUACAUCUAUCGAUUAAAUGAAAACCAAAACAAGCAAAGCCGACAACAAUCUCUUUUGUACCACACCCUAUUUGUUUUUUCCUUAAUAAGAAAAAGUCAUAAUAUAUUUUUAUUAUUACUUUCACCAAACUCUCCUAAUGACUUCAUACAUGUAUGUAUAUAAGCAAAAGAUUCAUCAAAAAAAAAAGUGAAAGUGUCAAAGAGAAGUGCGAAACGAAGCACGCAAGAUCCAAUAUGGAAGAAGAUAACACCACGAUCGUCAUGGCGUCACUCUCUACUCUCUCUUCUUCACUCCUCACAAAUCUCACUCACUCCAUUCUCUCUAUCUCCCACCACCAUCGCCGCCGUCUCGCCUCCGUCCUAUCUUCUCCGACCCUUUUCUCACUCACUCUCCGCCACCUCCUCUCUCUAUCUCUCCCAGACAAAACCCACCUCAUCGCCAACCACCUCCUCUCACUCCUCCACCCUCUUCUCAUCCACCUUAAACACAACUCUCUCACCUCCUCCGCCACCA